rnacentral:rRNA from 1 species
AUUGAACGCUGGCGGCAGGCCUAACACAUGCAAGUCGAACGAGUGGCGGACGGGUGAGUAAUGUCUGGGAAACUGCCCGAUGGAGGGGGAUAACUACUGGCAACGGUAGCUAAUACCGCAUACCAUCGGAUGUGCCACGAUGGGAUUAGCUAGUAGGUGGGGUAACGGCUCACCUAGGCGACGAGCCCUAGCUGGUCUGAGAGGAUGACCAGCCACACUGGAACUGCGACACGGUGCCGACUCCUACGGUAGGCAGCAGUGGAGAAUAGUGCACAAUGGGCGCAAGCCUUAUGCGACCAUGCCGAGUGUAUGAAGAAGGCCUUCGGGUGGUAAAGUACUUUCAGCGAGGAGGCGUUACUCGCAGAAGAAGCACCGGCUAACUCCGUGCCAGCAGCCGCGGUAAUUC